rnacentral:rRNA from 1 species
UACGGGAGGGUGCAAGCGUUGUUCGGAGUGAUCUGGCGUAAAGCGCACGUAGGUGGGCUUGUAAGUCGGAUGUGAAAUCCCUGGGCUUAACCUGGGAACUGCAUCCGAACGUAUAAGUCUUGAAUGCUUCAGAGGUUGGGUAGAAUUCCAAGGUGUAGGAGUGAAAUCCGAUAGAUAUCUGGAGGAAUGACCGGAGGCGAAGGCGGCCAAGCUGGGAAUGCAUUGGACACUGAGG